rnacentral:rRNA from 1 species
AGUGAACGCUGGCGGUAGGCCUAACACAUGCCAGUCGAACGGCAGCACAGUAAGAGCUUGCUCUUACGGGUGGCGAGUGGCGGACGGGUGAGGAAUACAUCGGAAUCUACUUUUUCGUGGGGGAUAACGUAGGGAAACUUACGCUAAUACCGCAUACGACCUACGGGUGAAAGCAGGGGAUCUUCGGACCUUGCGCGAUUGAAUGAGCCGAUGCCGGAUUAGCUAGUUGGCGGGGUAAAGGCCCACCAAGGCGACGAUCCGUAGCUGGUCUGAGAGGAUGAUCAGCCACACUGGAACUGAGACACGGUCCAGACUCCUACGGGAGGCAGCAGUGGGGAAUGUUGGACAAUGGGCGCAAGCCUGAUCCAGCCAUACCGCGUGGGUGAAGAAGGCCUUCGGGUUGUAAAGCCCUUUUGUUGGGAAAGAAAAGCAGCAGGUUAAUACCCCGCUGUUCUGACGGUACCCAAAGAAUAAGCACCGGCUAACUUCGUG